rnacentral:lncRNA from 1 species
AAUUUUAGUGCCUUAUAAGAUGUAUUAUUAAGUAUAAGAUUUAUUAUAUUUUUAUCACACAAUGUGGUUACACUUUUUCCUGUAAUAUUAAACAUUUUAAUACAAAGACUCUCUAAUACUGGAGUAACCGCUACAGUGUAGCAACAUGUGCUGUUCAUUUUCAAUUUCGCCACUUUUACAGAUUUCACAAAUUCUUUGAUCUCUGGGCAUUUUUUAAUAUCUUCCUCUUUCAAUGGCAAGGUUAUGAGCACUAACUCUUAAUUUACAUAAUGAUGAUCGAUCUGAUCUAUUUUUUAAAGCAUCAACAUAACCUGCCCGUUCAUUAAUUUUGUAGACACUCUGGAAAAAAAUUAAUUUAGGAGAUUCUGAAAUAUUUGCAUGUUGUUCCUGAAAACCCUGAUCAGUUAGUCUUUGUUUUAUGAAACCAAACAGGGGUUUAAUAGUAAGGUUAUCAUUUGACAAAUAAGAUAAACCUAAGUUUUG